GGGUUGUGAGGUUAAGCGACUAAGCGUACACGGUGGAUGCCCUGGCAGUCAGAGGCGAUGAAGGGCGUGCUAAUCUGCGAUAAGCGCCGGUAAGGUGAUAUGAACCGUUAUAACCGGCGAUACCCGAAUGGGGAAACCCAGUGUGACUCGUCACACUAUCAUUAACUGAAUCCAUAGGUUAAUGAGGCGAACCGGGGGAACUGAAACAUCUAAGUACCCCGAGGAAAAGAAAUCAACCGAGAUUCCCCCAGUAGCGGCGAGCGAACGGGGAGGAGCCCAGAGCCUGAAUCAGCAUGUGUGUUAGUGGAAGCGUCUGGAAAGGCGCGCGAUACAGGGUGACAGCCCCGUACACAAAAGCGCAUGUGCUGUGAGCUCGAUGAGUAGGGCGGGACACGUGGUAUCCUGUCUGAAUAUGGGGGGACCAUCCUCCAAGGCUAAAUACUCCUGACUGACCGAUAGUGAACCAGUACCGUGAGGGAAAGGCGAAAAGAACCCCGGCGAGGGGAGUGAAAAAGAACCUGAAACCGUGUACGUACAAGCAGUGGGAGCCCCACCACUAAGCCAGUGGUGAACUCCACAUACGCAUCCUUUGCUGAAGGAUACGGUUAACGGAGCGAAAGCGACGUUCAACCGCAAAACAAGCAGAGGGGGCUUAGUGGUGGGGUGACUGCGUACCUUUUGUAUAAUGGGUCAGCGACUUAUAUUCUGUAGCAAGGUUAACCGUAUAGGGGAGCCGGAGGGAAACCGAGUCUUAAUUGGGCGUUAAGUUGCAGGGUAUAGACCCGAAACCCGGUGAUCUAGCCAUGGGCAGGUUGAAGGUUGGGUAACACUAACUGGAGGACCGAACCGACUAAUGUUGAAAAAUUAGCGGAUGACCUGUGGCU
rnacentral:rRNA from 1 species